CUGCCCUGGGUAAGUCGGGACCUAAGGCGAGGCCGACAGGCGUAGUCGAUGGACAUCCGGUUGAUAUUCCGGAACCGGCGAAGAACCGCCCAUGACGAACCGAGUGAUGCUAAGCGCCUGAAACCACCACAUAACCAUUCCCUUUCGAGGGGGUGGGGUGGUGGUGGAGCGCGCGACCCGACCUUGUAGUAGUCAAGCGAUGGAGUGACGCAGGAAGGUAGCCUCCGCGUGGCGAUGGUAGUCCACGUCCAAGGGUGUAGGGCGAGCUGUAGGCAAAUCCGCAGCUCACAUAGCCUGAGACCUGAUAGUGACCGCGAAUGCGGGAAGCAGGGUGAUCCUAUGCUGCCAAGAAAAUCUUCUAGCGAGGUUCGAGCCGCCCGUACCCCAAACCGACUCAGGUGGUUAGGUAGAGAAUACCAAGGCGAUCGAGUGAAUCGUGGUUAAGGAAUUCGGCAAAAUGCCCCCGUAACUUCGGGAGAAGGGGGGCCCGGAACCUGAAGUGACUUGCUCACUAGGGUGAAGGGCCGCAGAGACCAGGGAGAAGCGACUGUUUACUAAAAACACAGGUCCGUGCGAAGUCGCAAGACGAUGUAUACGGACUGACGCCUGCCCGGUGCUGGAAGGUUAAGAGGACCGGUUAGACCGUAAGGUCGAAGCUGAGAAUUUAAGCCCCAGUAAACGGCGGUGGUAACUAUAACCAUCCUAAGGUAGCGAAAUUCCUUGUCGGGUAAGUUCCGACCUGCACGAAUGGCGUAACGACUUCUCCACUGUCUCAACCGCGAACUCGGCGAAAUUGCACUACGAGUAAAGAUGCUCGUUACGCGCAGCAGGACGGAAAGACCCCGGGACCUUUACUAUAGCUUGGUAUUGGUGUUCGGUACGGCUUGUGUAGGAUAGGUGGGAGACUGUGAAGCAUGCACGCCAGUGUGUGUGGAGUCAACGUUGAAAUACCACUCUGGUCGUUCUGGAUAUCUAACCUCGGUCCGUGAUCCGGAUCAGGGACAGUGCCUGGUGGGUAGUUUAACUGGGGCGGUUGCCUCCUAAAAGGUAACGGAGGCGCUCAAAGGUUCCCUCAGCCUGGUUGGCAAUCAGGUUUCGAGUGUAAGUGCACAAGGGAGCUUGACUGCGAGAGAGACAUCUCGAGCAGGGACGAAAGUCGGAACUAGUGACCCGGCGGUGGCUUGUGGAAGCGCCGUCGCUCAACGGAUAAAAGGUACCCCGGGGAUAACAGGCUGAUCUUGCCCAAGAGUCCAUAUCGACGGCAUGGUUUGGCACCUCGAUGUCGGCUCGUCGCAUCCUGGGGGUGGAGUUGCUCCCAAGGGUUGGGCUGUUCGCCCAUUAAAGCGGUACGCGAGCUGGGUUUAGAACGUCGUGAGACAGUUCGGUCCCUAUCCGCUGUGCGCGUAGGAAACUUGAGAAGGGCUGACCCUAGUACGAGAGGACCGGGUUGGACGAACCUCUGGUGUGUCAGUUGUCCUGCCAAGGGCACCGCUGAUUAGCUACGUUCGGAAGUGAUAACCGCUGAAAGCAUCUAAGCGGGAAGCACGCUUCAAGAUGAGGUUUCCAUGCACCGUUAGGUGUGAGAGGCUCCCGGCUAGACUACCGGGUUGAUAGGCCAGACGUGGAAGUGCAGCAAUGCAUGUAGC
rnacentral:rRNA from 1 species